GACGAACGCUGGCGGCGUGCUUAACACAUGCAAGUCGAACGCUGAAGCUUGGUGCUUGCACUGGGUGGAUGAGUGGCGCACGGGUGAGUAAUACGUGAGUAACCUGCCCUUGACUCUGGGAUAAGCCUGGGAAACUGGGUCUAAUACUGGAUACGACAUGCCACUGCAUGGUGGUGUGUGGAAAGGGUUUUACUGGUUUUGGAUGGGCUCACGGCCUAUCAGCUUGUUGGUGGGGUAAUGGCCUACCAAGGCGACGACGGGUAGCCGGCCUGAGAGGGUGACCGGCCACACUGGGACUGAGACACGGCCCAGACUCCUACGGGAGGCAGCAGUGGGGAAUAUUGCACAAUGGGCGGAAGCCUGAUGCAGCGACGCCGCGUGAGGGAUGACGGCCUUCGGGUUGUAAACCGCUUUCAGCACGGAAGAAGCGAGAGUGACGGUACGUGCAGAAGAAGCGCCGGCUAACUACGUG
rnacentral:rRNA from 1 species